GCCGCACAAAGGCACACCCGUACGAAAGUCGGGGUCGCAAAGCUUCCGGUCUGAGACCUCGUGCGCGAGGGGGUAUGGCAGCGGGGCCGCUGAU
rnacentral:ncRNA from 1 species